rnacentral:rRNA from 1 species
UUUUAGNGGNNUUACCCNCUNGGAUNNAACNNGCCCAAUUCUUNGGGNGCAGCNUGGGGAAUUUUCNCANUGGGNAANCCUAAGGNGCAACCCCNCNUAGGAUNAAGNCUUNUNGGCUUUAAACCUUUUUNUUCANGAAGAANNUUGACGGUACUUUAUGAAUAAGCCANGGNUUANUNCGUGCCAGCAGCCGNGGUUANACGGAGUNGCAAGCGUUNUCCGGAAUUAUUGGGNGUAAAGCNUCCGCAGGCGGCCCNUUUAAGUUUGUUGUUAAAAGCGUGGAGCUUAAAUUCCAUUUGAGCAAUGGAAACUGGAAAGGCUUGAGUGUNGUAGGGGGCAGAGGGAAUUNCCCGGUGUAGCGGUGAAAUGCGUAGAUAUCGGGAAGAACACCAGUGGCGAAGGCGCUCUGCUGGGCCAUAACUGACGCUCAUGGACGAAAGCCAGGGGAGCGAAAGGGAUUAGAUACCCCUGUAGUCCUGGCCGUAAACGAUGAACACUAGGUGUCGGGGGAAUCGACCCCCUCGGUGUCGUAGCCAACGCGUUAAGUGUUCCGCCUGGGGAGUACGCACGCAAGUGUGAAACUCAAAGGAAUUGACGGGGGCCCGCACAAGCGGUGGAGUAUGUGGUUUAAUUCGAUGCAACGCGAAGAACCUUACCAGGGUUUGACAUCCUGCGAAUCCCUUGGAAACGAGGGAGUGCCUUCGGGAGCGCAGUGACAGGUGGUGCAUGGCUGUCGUCAGCUCGUGUCGUGAGAUGUUGGGUUAAGUCCCGCAACGAGCGCAACCCACGUCGUUAGUUGCCAGCAUUCAGUUGAGCACUCUAGCGAGACCGCCGGUGAUAAACCGGAGGAAGGUGUGGAUGACGUCAAGUCAUCAUGCCCCUUACAUCCUGGGCUACACACGUACUACAAUGCUACGGACAAAGGGCAGCAAACUCGCGAGAGCUAGCAAAUCCCAUAAACCGUGGCUCAGUUCAGAUCGUAGGCUGCAACUCGCCUACGUGAAGGAGGAAUCGCUAGUAAUCGCAGGUCAGCAUACUGCGGUGAAUACGUUCCCGGGCCUUGUACACACCGCCCGUCACACCAUGGAAGUUGGCCACGCCCGAAGCCGUUACUCCAACCCUUGUGGAGGAGGACGUCGAAGGUGGGGCUGAUGANCUGGGGUGAAGUCGUAACAAGGUAACCAUCCAGCUCGNCCAG